rnacentral:lncRNA from 1 species
GGCUCGCUCACCUUUUUCAGUAAAAGGUGACUUGAUCAUCUUUUCAAGAAGACAGGACUCACAGGUUGGAAGUGAUUCACAAUCACCAACUUCAAGAAUUCCUUCUUAAGCCAACCUAUUUAUUCUGUUCUUAUUGAUAUGACCUAGCCUACAGUGCCAAAGAUAGACUUCUGACACAUUAUCUAUUCUAGGGCAUUUACCGG